UACAGAGGGUGCGAGCGUUGUCCGGAAUCACUGGGCGUAAAGGGCGCGUAGGUGGCUCGUUAAGCGUGUGGUGAAAGCCUGGGGCUCAACCCCGGGUCGGCCGUGCGGACUGGCGUGCUCGAGCACUGUAGGGGCGGGUGGAAUUCCGGGUGUAGCGGUGGAAUGCGUAGAGAUCCGGAAGAACACCGGUGGCGAAGGCGGCCCGCUGGGCAGGAAGGCUCGCAAGAGCCGGCUGACGCUGAGGCGCAACAGCGUGGGGAGCAAACAGG
rnacentral:rRNA from 1 species